rnacentral:rRNA from 1 species
GGGGAUCGAGGAGGGGGUGGGCGUGCUGCCUGCGCUUAGUUGCGCGGCGUGCGCCUGCUUCCGUUAUCUUCUCGAGUCUUUCCAACUUCUACACACUGUGGAGUUUUCUUACUUUACAAUUUUUCUUUGGACAAGUGCAAGCCUGUCCAGAGGUAACAAACACAAACAAUUAUGUUAAUUUUCUAACUAGUCAAACCAAUUUCGUUAUGAAAUACAAAAUUUUAAAACUUUCAACAACGGAUCUCUUGGUUCUCGCAUCGAUGAAGAACGCAGCGAAAUGCGAUACGUAAUGUGAAUUGCAGAAUUCCGUGAAUCAUCGAAUCUUUGAACGCACAUUGCGCCUCUUGGUAUUCCAGGAGGCAUGCCUGUUUGAGCGUCAUUUCCUUCUCAAACACUCGUGUUUGGUUGUGAGUGAUACUCUGCUACAGGGUUAACUUGAAAUUGCAAGCCUGUUUGGCUGUGCGCUGGCUCGGAUAAAUGAUUUGUCCAGUCUGCCAAUACCAAAGUCGUAUUAGGUUUUACCAACUUCGGCGUGCGGUGGUGGUGGGUGCUUUAAAGACACGUCUCUCUAUUCAAAGCAGGUUGUACGGUCCGGCGAACAAUACUCUCAAAGUUUGACCUCAAAUCAGGUAGGGCUACCCGC